AGAUCACAGAGGCUGCCUGGGUCCCCAGAGUUAGAUCACAGAGGCUGCCUGGGUCCCCAGAGUUAGAUCACAGAGGCUGCCUGGGCCCCCAGAGUUAGAUCACAGAGGCUGCCUGGGUCCCCAGAGUUAGAACACAGAGGCUGCCUGGGCCCCCAGAAAUAGAACACAGAGGCUGCCUGGGCCCCCAGAGUUAGAUCACAGAGGGGCCUCCCGAGUGGCGCAGUCAUCUAAAGCACUGCAUUGCAAUGCUAGCUGUGCCUCUAGAGAUUCUGGGUUCGAGUCCAGGCUCUGUCGCAGACGGCUGCGACCGGGAGACCCAUGGGGCAGCGCACAAUUGGCCCAGCGUCGCCCGGGUUAGGGGAGGGUUUGGCCGGCAGGGAUGUCCUUGUCCCAUCGCGCACUAGUGACUCCUGUUAUUGUGCCAAGAAGCAGUGCGGUUUGGUUGGGUUGUGUUUUGAAGGAUGCACGGCUCUCGACCUUCGCCUCUCCCGAGUCCGUGCGGGAGUUGCAGCGAUGAGACAAGACUGUAACUACCAAUUGGAUACAAUGAAAUUGGGGAGAAAAAGGGGUAAUAUUUUUUUUUUAAAGGGUUAGAUCACAGAGGCUGGGCCCCCAGAGUUAGAACACAGAGGAUAUUGUUUUCCAGUAUAGGACUGAGAUCUAGUUUUAUAAGACUGUUAUAGCCAUCAGCUAGACUGAGAUGUCUUGCCAUCACCAAAAAAAGGUGAAGUGAAAAAUAUGAGAGCGAAAGAGAUGGUGUGAUAUCCCCCUUCUCCUUGGCACCUUGGUCCUGUGCUGUCAUUUUUUCCCCCAGUCAGGCCUGUGCUGCAUUGGAUUGGGCUGUAGUUAGGUGCUUGAUGAAGCUGCUGGAGCUGGUCCUGCACCCAGGGCUCUGGAAGGAAUUAUAGUUUUACUGCUCAGGAUCAAGCUGGCCAGGAUUGGAAGAACCACCAGCUCAGGCCAGGGUUGGAAGGACCACCAGCUCAGGCCAGGGUUGGAAGGACCACCAGCUCAGGCCAGGGUUGGAAGGACCACCAGCUCAACCUCUAACACACAACCACCACUAUCCUGUCUCUGGACUUCCUGUGCCUCACACCUCAUUCAUAUAGAUGAUCAUAGAUAGGCUCUAAUGAAGGUGAUUCAUGCUGAAAUGUCAGCCGAUUGUUUACUUGUCCCGUCAAUAAAUCCAUCAGAUCUACCCAGCAACAGAGUGC
rnacentral:lncRNA from 1 species